CGUGAAUCUAAAUGCAAAGACAAGAAAGAUUCAUAAACUUUUCCAGCCAUUUUUCCUUGCUAGUUGGUUACCAUGAGAUAAAAAUGGGAAUGAAAGCGUAUUACCUGAGUCGUCAAACGAGCCACUAAGUAGUCGGAACAAUGGAACAAACACAGAAAGUUUUAGUAUGCUGUCUGCUGAAAGGAGUGGAAUUCCGGAAAGUGUCUCUAACGUGCAGAAUCAGGAUGAUGGAGGCUUUGGCCAGAGUUCUACAGAAAGGGAGAUGGAGAUACAGGUUCUCGAAGAGAUUGUAAGAAUUAGACAAUACAUAUUGCAGUGAGGACCUGGAAGGUCAUGAAAAAGAUGUCAGCCGAUACCUUCGAUGAAGAAGAACUAAA